UUCGGAUCGGAGCCUGCAACCCGGCUCCGUGAAGCUGGAUUCGCUAGUAAUCGCGCAUCAGCCAUGGCGCGGUGAAUACGUUCCCGGGCCUUGUACACACCGCCCGUCAAGCCAUGGGAGCCGGGGGCGCCUGAAGUGCGGUACCGCGAGGGCCGCCCAAGGGCGAGACCGGUGACUGGGGCUAAGUCGUAACAAGGUACC
rnacentral:rRNA from 1 species